rnacentral:lncRNA from 1 species
GUGAGAUUUUAGGCCAAAAAGCAAUAAAGACUCCUGUGUGUUAGUUCUUAAGGAGUUGUACUUCCAGCCUGCUGAUAGCUGUCAUUCUCAUAACCUCUGAAGAAACACGUACUCCACACACUGGCUGCACACACACAGAUCGGCUUGAGAAGCUGUAUGUCAGGGAUCACAUAGCCUUUCUUCUGCUCUUGUGUUCAGUUGACUGGUAGUUCUUCGCAAAUGAAUGAAUGCUACUAAAUGACCAGUUGAAUAAGAUUUCCUCAACUGGGCAAUUGUUGACAAGGAUAACCAACUUGCUCUGCCCUGUUUGAUCAUCUUCAGAGUCUGUUUGCUUCCCAGAACAUACUUUCAACUUCUUAAAACAAGUUGGAGCCUAAAGUUGAAUUGAUCUACUCCAGAGACUUUUUCCUCUUCUUUGGGGCCACCAUCUUCCUUCAUUAGGUAUGUGUCAGUCCCCAACUAAGAUCAACAUGGCCAAGGAGUGAGAGAAGGCCAAGCCUUUUGAAACUCAGCUAGCUUUUUAUGACGAAGAAGCCAUGACUUGGUUCUGAAACACCUCCUCCUCCUCAGCUCAGUGUUCCUUCUCCUUGGUGUGAUGGUAUGCCUCCUCUACAGGUCUGCAUGACAGCUGUUUCCAACAAACCUCUAUCGGGCCUUCCAGGAAGUUCUCUGAGAGCUAGAACUUCAGAAGUAAGAAUUCCCUGGUCCCAUGAAGUUUUGAAGAAGUUGAGUGGUAAUGAACAAGGAGUGACAGUGAGUGGACAAAGCAUUUGCCAGGAUUGUUGA